rnacentral:rRNA from 1 species
GAUGAACGCUGGCGGCGUGCCUAAUACAUGCAAGUCGAGCGAACGGACGAGAAGCUUGCUUCUCUAAUGUUAGCGGCGGACGGGUGAGUAACACGUGGAUAACCUACCUAUAAGACUGGGAUAACUUCGGGAAACCGUAGCUAAUACCGGAUAAUAUUUUGAACCGCAUGGUUCAAUAGUGAAAGACGGUCUUGCUGUCACUUAUAGAUGGAUCCGCGCUGCAUUAGCUAGUUGGUAAGGUAACGGCUUACCAAGGCAACGAUGCAUAGCCGACCUGAGAGGGUGAUCGGCCACACUGGAACUGAGACACGGUCCAGACUCCUACGGGAGGCAGCAGUAGGGAAUCUUCCGCAAUGGGCGAAAGCCUGACGGAGCAACGCCGCGUGAGUGAUGAAGGUCUUCGGAUCGUAAAACUCUGUUAUUAGGGAAGAACAUAUGUGUAAGUAACUGUGCACAUCUUGACGGUACCUAAUCAGAAAGCCACGGCUAACUACGUG